rnacentral:rRNA from 1 species
GCCUACCAUGCAGUCGAGCGGCAGCACAGAGAACUUGUUUCUCGGGUGGCGAGCGGCGGACGGGUGAGUAAUGCCUGGGAAAUUGCCCUGAUGUGGGGGAUAACCAUUGGAAACGAUGGCUAAUACCGCAUGAUGCCUACGGGCCAAAGAGGGGGACCUUCGGGCCUCUCGCGUCAGGAUAUGCCCAGGUGGGAUUAGCUAGUUGGUGAGGUAAGGGCUCACCAAGGCGACGAUCCCUAGCUGGUCUGAGAGGAUGAUCAGCCACACUGGAACUGAGACACGGUCCAGACUCCUACGGGAGGCAGCAGUGGGGAAUAUUGCACAAUGGGCGCAAGCCUGAUGCAGCCAUGCCGCGUGUGUGAAGAAGGCCUUCGGGUUGUAAAGCACUUUCAGUAGGGAGGAAGGUGGUAGUGUUAAUAGCGCUAUCAUUUGACGUUACCUACAGAAGAAGCACCGGCUAACUCCGUGCCAGCAGCCGCGGUAAUACGGAGGGUGCGAGCGUUAAUCGGAAUUACUGGGCGUAAAGCGCAUGCAGGUGGUUUGUUAAGUCAGAUGUGAAAGCCCCGGGCUCAACCUGGGAAUUGCAUUUGAAACUGGCAAACUAGAGUACUGUAGAGGGGGGUAGAAUUUCAGGUGUAGCGGUGAAAUGCGUAGAGAUCUGAAGGAAUACCGGUGGCGAAGGCGGCCCCCUGGACAGAUACUGACACUCAGAUGCGAAAGCGUGGGGAGCAAACAGGAUUAGAUACCCUGGUAGUCCACGCCGUAAACGAUGUCUACUUGGAGGUUGUGGCCUUGAGCCGUGGCUUUCGGAGCUAACGCGUUAAGUAGACCGCCUGGGGAGUACGGUCGCAAGAUUAAAACUCAAAGGAAUUUGACGGG